rnacentral:lncRNA from 1 species
AUAAUAGUCUCAUUUUCCUAAUUCUUCAAAGAUAUCUUCUCUUCAACUUUGAGUAGAAUUCCACCUUCAAUUUAGCAUACUAUGCACACGGGAAAAUUGGGGAAACAUGGACACCUUGUAGAAAUAGGAAAAGUGGGAUUUUGGAGUCCAAAAAAGACUAGGAAGAAGAAACCACACGAGCUGGCUGUAGAAGCAUGGUUCUGACUGUGGGUUGCACAGGCUAGGUUGCUGGUUGUCUGGCUAAGCUAAUUUGGCCGCACAGAUCUCCUUCCUUGAUACGAGUCGCACGCGCUUGGGUUGCAGUGCAUGCGACCCCUGGUAGCAAGCAUGUGCACUGCCGCGCACAUGCCAACAUUCGCGGGUGUACGAGUCUGUACACCUCGCAUGCUUCCUCACAUAGGUGAGGCUCCCGCAUGUGUGGGCAGUUUUUCCCACUCGUGCUAGAAGCACGUCACGUGU